CCUACGGGGGGCUGCAGUGGGGAAUAUUGCACAAUGGGGGAAACCCUGAUGCAGCGACACCGCGUGAGUGAAGAAGUAUUUCGGUAUGUAAAGCUCUAUCAGCAGGGAAGAAAAUGACGGUACCUGACUAAGAAGCCCCGGCUAACUACGUGCCAGCAGCCGCGGUAAUACGUAGGGGGCAAGCGUUAUCCGGAUUUACUGGGGUUAAAGGGAGCGUAGGCGGUGUGGCAAGUCAGAAGUGAAAGCCCGGGGCUCAACUCCGGGACUGCUUUGGAAACUGGGUGACUGGAGUGCAGGAGAGGUAGGCGGAAUUCCUGGUGUAGCGGUGAAAUGCGUAGAUAUCAGGAGGAACACCAGUGGCGAAGGCGGCUUACUGGACUGUAACUGACGUUGAGGCUCGAAAGCGUGGGGAGCAAACAGGAUUAGAUACCCUUGUAGUC
rnacentral:rRNA from 1 species